AUGUUAAUGCUCCUUCAAGCGUGAGUUAGAAUUGAAUGGCUUACAUACUGUUGCUUUCCUAUGUGUCUCAACUAAAUCAGUUGUCCAGGAAAAUUGAAAACAGAAGGGCCUUAUACAAUGAUUCAUGUCUCAACGGUUUCUAACAUAUUGAUGGAAGGUUUCAAAACCAAUUCAAAUCGUGUAGGCAUUCCCAUUAUUGUCAACUUUAUAAUUCAAGGACUGCAAAGAUUCU
rnacentral:misc_RNA from 1 species